CCCUUAGAUGUUCUGGGCUGCACGCGCGCUACACUGAAGCGUUCAACGAGUAUUCACCUUGCCCGGGAGGGUUGGGUAAUCUUUUGAAAACGCUUCGUGAUGGGGAUAGAUUAUUGCAAUUAUUAAUCUUCAACGAGGAAUUCCUAGUAAGCGCGAGUCAUCAGCUCGUGCUGAUUACGUCCCUGCCCUUUGUACACACCGCCCGUCGCUACUACCGAUUGAACGUUUUAGUGAGGUAUUUGGACUGGACCUUCGGAGGUUCGCGCCUCCGUUGCUGUUCGGGAAGACUCCCAAACUUGAGCGUUUAGAGGAAGUAAAAGUCGUAACA
rnacentral:rRNA from 1 species